GACGAACGCUGGCGGCGCGCCUAACACAUGCAAGUCGAACGAGCGAGAGAGAGCUUGCUUUCUCGAGCGAGUGGCGAACGGGUGAGUAACGCGUGAGGAACCUGCCUCAAAGAGGGGGACAACAGUUGGAAACGACUGCUAAUACCGCAUAAGCCCACGGGUCGGCAUCGACCAGAGGGAAAAGGAGCAAUCCGCUUUGAGAUGGCCUCGCGUCCGAUUAGCUAGUUGGUGAGGUAACGGCCCACCAAGGCAACGAUCGGUAGCCGGACUGAGAGGUUGAACGGCCACAUUGGGACUGAGACACGGCCCAGACUCCUACGGGAGGCAGCAGUGGGGAAUAUUGCACAAUGGGGGAAACCCUGAUGCAGCGACGCCGCGUGGAGGAAGAAGGUCUUCGGAUUGUAAACUCCUGUUGUUGGGGAAGAUAAUGACGGUACCCAACAAGGAAGUGACGGCUAACUACGUGCCAGCAGCCGCGGUAAAACGUAGGUCACAAGCGUUGUCCGGAAUUACUGGGUGUAAAGGGAGCGCAGGCGGGAAGACAAGUUGGAAGUGAAAUCUAUGGGCUCAACCCAUAAACUGCUUUCAAAACUGUUUUUCUUGAGUAGUGCAGAGGUAGGCGGAAUUCCCGGUGUAGCGGUGGAAUGCGUAGAUAUCGGGAGGAACACCAGUGGCGAAGGCGGCCUACUGGGCACCAACUGACGCUGAGGCUCGAAAGUGUGGGUAGCAAACAGGAUUAGAUACCCUGGUAGUCCACACCGUAAACGAUGAUUACUAGGUGUUGGAGGAUUGACCCCCUCAGUGCCGCAGUUAACACAAUAAGUAAUCCACCUGGGGAGUACGACCGCAAGGUUGAAACUCAAAGGAAUUGACGGGGGCCCGCACAAGCAGUGGAGUAUGUGGUUUAAUUCGACGCAACGCGAAGAACCUUACCAAGUCUUGACAUCCCUUGACAGGCAUAGAAAUAUGUUUUCUCUUCGGAGCAAGGAGACAGGUGGUGCAUGGUUGUCGUCAGCUCGUGUCGUGAGAUGUUGGGUUAAGUCCCGCAACGAGCGCAACCCUUAUGGUCAGUUACUACGCAAGAGGACUCUGGCCAGACUGCCGUUGACAAAACGGAGGAAGGUGGGGAGGACGUCAAAUCAUCAUGCCCUUUAUGACUUGGGCUACACACGUACUACAAUGGCGUUAAACAAAGAGAAGCAAGACCGCGAGGUGGAGCAAAACUCAGAAACAACGUCCCAGUUCGGACUGCAGGCUGCAACUCGCCUGCACGAAGUCGGAAUUGCUAGUAAUCGUGGAUCAGCAUGCCACGGUGAAUACGUUCCCGGGCCUUGCACA
rnacentral:rRNA from 1 species